UCUGUUUCGGCCUUCUUGGCGCUUUUGCUGCUGUGCUCCAGUCUCUCAGUGCACGCGAACCAUGCUGACCAAGCCUCUCGUUUGUUUCCUCUUCGUCCUUCUUGCUGUCGUGACGAUUGCACUGGCGGACUACUCUUCAUCUUCAGAUUACGUCUCAUACGAAGACUCAGAAAACGGACCAAAUGCAACUCAGUUUUCUCUAAUCGAUGCAAUGGCGAGAAAGUGUUCUGAAGGAAAAAUGCGUCGCCGUGGAAAAUGUGUUAAAAUUAUUACGACUGGAUAGAGAAGAGGGUUAAAAGAUGCAGCGAUUGCGUUUCUUAUUGGACUACGGACAUCACGAUUGAAGAUCUUUCGCCUGCUUUGCAUUUUCCUAUAUAAUAUGUAACCAAUAAAAUAUACUAAAUAAUAUU